rnacentral:rRNA from 1 species
GACGAACGCUGACGGCGUGCUUAACACAUGCAAGUCGAACGGAAAGGCCCUGCUUUUGUGGGGUGCUCGAGUGGCGAACGGGUGAGUAACGCGUGAGUAACCUGCCCUUGACUUUGGGAUAACUUCAGGAAACUGGGGCUAAUACCGGAUAGGAGCUCCUGCUGCAUGGUGGGGGUUGGAAAGUUUCGGCGGUUGGGGAUGGACUCGCGGCUUAUCAGCUUGUUGGUGGGGUAGUGGCUUACCAAGGCUUUGACGGGUAGCCGGCCUGAGAGGGUGACCGGCCACAUUGGGACUGAGAUACGGCCCAGACUCCUACGGGAGGCAGCAGUGGGGAAUAUUGCACAAUGGGCGGAAGCCUGAUGCAGCAACGCCGCGUGCGGGAUGACGGCCUUCGGGUUGUAAACCGCUUUCGCCUGUGACGAAGCGUGAGUGACGGUAAUGGGUAAAGAAGCACCGGCUAACUACGUG